rnacentral:rRNA from 1 species
UACGUAGGGGGCUAGCGUUGUCCGGAAUCAUUGGGCGUAAAGAGCGUGUAGGCGGCCCGGUAAGUCCGCUGUGAAAGUCGGGGGCUCAACCCUCGAAAGCCGGUGGAUACUGUCGGGCUAGAGUGCGGAAGAGGCGAGUGGAAUUCCUGGUGUAGCGGUGAAAUGCGCAGAUAUCAGGAGGAACACCGAUUGCGAAGGCAGCUCGCUGGGACGUAACUGACGCUGAGACGCGAAAGCGUGGGAGCAAACAGG